rnacentral:tRNA from 1 species
GGUGAACGGUGAUACGACGGACUCAUGAUCCGUCGGCCGUGGGUUCGAGUCCCAC